rnacentral:lncRNA from 10 species
AAUCAUCCCCAAAGCACAAAGUAUAUGACAUAGCUGAAGAAUAAUCUUGUAUCAUAAACAGUGAUAUGAUAAGCCAUAAGGAAACCCCACUGCUGGGGAAACCAAGAAGCAAAUCCUGUGGACGUAGGCCCUAGACUGCCAUGGUUGUAGUUCCAAAGACUAAACACUCCAAAGCAAUAGAGGAACAGUGCUGGCAGUGUUAGCAAAUCUGAAUGAUAGUUUUCCCUAUGGUGGACACAGAAUAAGCCUUACAUUCAGUGUGUCUGUAAGCAGCCACGUUCUUAGGCAAGGUCCAUCCUUUCUACCAGCCAUAAGCCUUUAAGUUAUACCAUACCUUUUUCCUCUGUCACAUGAUGAAGUAACUUCUCAAGUCCAGGAAGUUUCAGCAACAAGAUGCAAUUUGGAAACACGUUAUCCACCACAACUUGAUCAAGGGGCUGAAACUUCCCCUGAAAAAACAGUUAGUUGGAAAGCAAGCAUUUCAUUCAACAAAGACAUUCAGAAAAAAAGAGAAAAAGACACAUUAACUCAUGGCUGGGCCUUUAAACUUAGUGCAGAAGCCACCUAUUCCAUCUAAGGAAUCCCUACAAUGGGACAGGCUCUAGGACGGACCCCAGCUCCCUUCAGGAAGCUCCUGUGAGCACUGGAGUCCCACACAGCACACCAUCUACCUUGGGUGUACAGUCCCCAAAUGAAAUGGGGAAGAAAAUCAAUCUACAAAAGCACUGGA